AAGUUGACGGGGCCCGCACAAGCGGUGGAGCAUGUGGUUUAAUUCGACGCAACGCGAAGAACCUUACCAGGGCUUGACAUCCCUGACCGCGUAUGAAAGUACGUUUUCACCUCGGGUGACAGGGAGACAGGUGGUGCAUGGUUGUCGUCAGCUCGUGUCGUGAGAUGUUGGGUUAAGUCCCGCAACGAGCGCAACCCUUAUCUUUAAUUGCCAGCAUUCAGUUGGGCACUUUAAAGAGACUGCCGGUGUUAAACCGGAGGAAGGUGGGAUGACGUCAAGUCCUCAUGGCCUUUAUGCUUAGGGCUACACACGUGCUACAAUGGGUGGUACAAAGAGAAGCCAACUCGCGAGAGCGCGCCAAUCUCAAAAAGCCAUCCUCAGUUCGGAUUGGAGUCUGCAACUCGACUCCAUGAAGUUGGAAUCGCUAGUAAUCGCGGAUCAGCAUGCCGCGGUGAAUACGUUCCCGGGCCUU
rnacentral:rRNA from 1 species